rnacentral:rRNA from 1 species
CACGCCGUAAACGAUGGAUACUUGUUGUUGGAGGUAUUGACCCCUUCAGUGACGAAGCUAACGCGUUAAGUAUCCCGCCUGGGAAGUACGGUCGCAAGAUUAAAACUCAAAGAAAUUGACGGGGGCCCGCACAAGCGGUGGAGCAUGUGGUUUAAUUCGAUGCAACGCGAAAAACCUUACCUGGGUUUGAAAUAGACAAGAAAAGUACCAGAAAUGGUCUUCUCGCAAGAGCUUGUUUACAGGUGC